GGGCCUGUAGCUCAGCUAGGUAGAGCAAUCGGCUCUUAACCGAAAGGUCAAGGGUUCGAAUCCCUUCAGGCCCGCCA
rnacentral:tRNA from 1 species